UUACCAAAAUUGAUCCUGGGUAAAAUUUCGGGUCUGUGUCUUACAACUCUCUCCCCCUUAAAAAGAAAUUUGGUCCUCAAAUUUGUCGCCCUCUCACUUAGUCAAACAGUUGGGAUACUAGACUUUUAAGUCUGAUUUUAGCUCCUAUGUGGCUUCUUUCUGUAUACGAUUCUGCCAUAUGACAUUGACAAAGAAAAUUUCUCUGUUGCAGAGUACUUUGCUUUUUUGGUCUACAAUACCCACUGGUACCUCCUUAUAUGAUAGAUGCUCCUAGAGUGAAGGAAGCUCAUAGGAUAACAUGUGUGAGAUGUCU
rnacentral:lncRNA from 1 species